CCUACGGGGGGCAGCAGUAGGGAAUAUUGCUCAAUGGGGGAAACCCUGAAGCAGCAACGCCGCGUGGAGGAUGAAGGUUUUCGGAUUGUAAACUCCUUUUGUUAGAGAAGAUAAUGACGGUAUCUAACGAAUAAGCACCGGCUAACUCCGUGCCAGCAGCCGCGGUAAUACGGAGGGGGCAAGCGUUACUCGGAAUCACUGGGCGUAAAGAGCGCGUAGGCGGGAUAGCAAGUCAGAUGUGAAAUCCUAUGGCUUAACCAUAGAACUGCAUUUGAAACUGUUAUUCUAGAGUAUGGGAGAGGUAGGUGGAAUUCUUGGUGUAGGGGUAAAAUGCGUAGAGAUCAAGAGGAAUACUGAUUGCGAAGGCGACCUGCUAGAACAUAACUGACGCUGAUGCGCGAAAGCGUGGGGAGCAAACAGGAUUAGAUACCCCAGUAGUC
rnacentral:rRNA from 1 species